rnacentral:lncRNA from 1 species
ACAUCACCUGAUGAAGGAAGUGCACAAUAAGGCUAUAGUUUGGAACAUGCAGUCUCCAAAAGCCCACUACACCCAGAAAAGACUGUGUCUCUCUCUUGCUAGUGGGUGGAGACAUAGCAGUGAUGUUGUUGGUCACAUCUGCUGGAAUGUGAUGACGCCCAUCUUGCUACUUUAUACCUAGGAACUGAAUCUCCUGGGCAGGUCCAUUCACUUUGCCUCGCUUAAUAGCAAAACCAGCUUGCAGAAGAAUUUGGAUUAUUUGCUCUCCUUUUGUGAACGUGACUUCUGCUGCACCUCCCCACACAACAGUAUCACAAAUGUAAUGCAGGGAUCCUUGAAAUGCCCACCUCACUCUUUACUCCAAGUUCUCUCACACAUUACUCUGAGUUUAUUCACAUUCUGUGUGUGUGUGUGUUUUACUCACACUUUCCUCAGCGUUUACUGAAUCAUUUCUUCAAGUUUACUCACACUUCACUCUGGGUUUACUCAAACUUUUCUCCGAUUUUUACUGACACCCUGCUCCGGGUGUACUCACGCUCUACUCCUGGUCUACCCACACUUUGCUCCUGGUCUUUCUCACACUUCAAGUUUAUUCACACUUUAGUCCAGCUUUAUUCACACUUCUCUACGUGCUUUACCCAUACUUCACUCUGGUUUUUACACACACAUUUCUUUAGAUUUGCUCUCAAUUCACAUCCAGUUUUCUCUUCCAUCCUCCCCAUGGGCAAAGAACCCAUAGUUCUGUGGUGGCACCAACCUUUCUGCCACUUAUUCAAAGCCUGCCAUUUCCUAGACUGCUCUGCAUCCCUCACCACCCCAGAAGAAGGAGAGAGAAAAAUACCACUUGUGAAGCCACUCUCUCAGCCACUCGCCCUAACCCCUGAAAUCCUUUUGCAUAGGUCGCAGGCUUCCCUGAACAAUUUCAUCACUGCUUACCUGAACUAUCAAGAAUGGGUAGUAAUCAGAGGAGCGAACCAGACCUGGGACUUUUCUGGUGAUACUGGUGGUGCAGGGAGGCCCCAGGGAGGCCACGCACUCUGAG